CUUGGAUUGGCGCUUCUUAGAGGGCCUUUGAGGCUAGAUUGAUUGGUUUAGAACCUUCCUUGGGCUUGGAUUGGAAGGGAUUUAGCUCUCAUUUGGAGCUUGAGAGAGUUUUUCCACGCGUUGGGGUAUUUUGAGACUCGGGGACAACUUUGUUCGGCGAAACGAGACCCUACG